rnacentral:rRNA from 1 species
AUUGAACGCUGGCGGCAGGCCUAACACAUGCAAGUCGAACGAGUGGCGGACGGGUGAGUAAUGUCUGGGAAACUGCCUGAUGGAGGGGGAUAAAUACUGGAAACGGUAGCUAAUACCGCAUACCAUCGGAUUUGCCCAGAUGGGAUUAGCUAGUAGGUGGGGUAAAAGCUCACCUAGGAGAAGAUCCCUAGCUGGUCUGAGAGGAUGACCAGCCACACGGGAACGGAGACACGCUACACACUUCUACGGGGGACAGGGGGGGGGAAUAUUGCACAGUAGGCAAAAGCCUGAUGGAGCCACGCCGCGUGUAUGAAGAAGGCCCGCGGUUUGUAAAGUACUUUCAGGGGGGAGACGUUACCCGAAGAAGAAGCACCGGCUAACACCUGGCCAGCGGCCGCGUUAAUC